rnacentral:rRNA from 1 species
AGCUCCAAUAGCGUAUAUUAAAGUUGUUGCGGUUAAAAGCUCGUAGUUGGAUUUCUGUCGAGGAUGGGUGGUCCGCUCUAUGAGCGUGUAUCUACUUCAGCCUUGGCAUCCUCCAGGGGAACGAUACUGUGCUUGAUUGCAUGGUUCGGAAUUCUGGACUUUUACUUUGAGGAAAUUAGAGUGUUUACGGCAGGCAAUCGCCUUGAAUAUAUUAGCAUGGAAUAAUAAUAUAGGACCUUGGUUCUAUUUUGUUGGUUUCUAGAACUAAGGUAAUGAUUAAUAGGGAUAAUUGGGGGCAUUCGUAUUAACACGUCAGAGGUGAAAUUCUUGGAUUGUGUUACGACGAACUACUGCGAAAGCAUUUGCCAAGGAUGUUUUCA